rnacentral:rRNA from 1 species
AACGUAGGACGCAAGCGUUAUCCGGAGUUACUGGGCGUAAAGCGCGGGCAGGCGGUUCUGCCAGUCUGAUGUGAAAUCUCCUCGCUCAACGGGGAGCAGCCAUUGGAAACUACAGAACUGGAGUCUGGCAGAGGUAGGCGGAAUUCCGGGUGGAGUGGUGAAAUGCGUAGAGAUCCGGAGGAACACCAGAGGCGAAGGCGGCCUACUGGGCCAGUACUGACGCUGAGCCGCGAAAGCUAGGGGAGCAAACGGG